UGGAAAUGGUAUCACAUCUAAGGUU
rnacentral:piRNA from 1 species